CCUACGGGAGGCAGCAGUAGGGAAUAUUGGACAAUGGGCGAAAGCCUGAUCCAGCAAUGCCGCGUGAGUGAUGAAGGCCUUAGGGUCGUAAAGCUCUUUUACCAGGGAUGAUAAUGACAGUACCUGGAGAAUAAGCUCCGGCUAACUCCGUGCCAGCAGCCGCGGUAAUACGGAGGGAGCUAGCGUUGUUCGGAAUUACUGGGCGUAAAGCGUACGUAGGCGGUUAUUCAAGUCAGAGGUGAAAGCCCGGGGCUCAACCCCGGAACUGCCUUUGAAACUAGGUAGCUAGAAUCUUGGAGAGGUCAGUGGAAUUCCGAGUGUAGAGGUGAAAUUCGUAGAUAUUCGGAAGAACACCAGUGGCGAAGGCGACUGACUGGACAAGUAUUGACGCUGAGGUACGAAAGCGUGGGGAGCAAACAGGAUUAGAUACCCUGGUAGUCCACGCCGUAAACGAUGAUAACUAGCUGUUCGGGCACUUGGUGCUUGAGUGGCGCAGCUAACGCAUUAAGUUAUCCGCCUGGGGAGUACGGUCGCAAGAUUAAAACUUAAAGGAAUUGACGG
rnacentral:rRNA from 1 species